rnacentral:rRNA from 1 species
UAUGGAGCUUUAACUACUUAACCCAAAGAAAUAGACUUAACCACCAAGGUAAUAACAAUAAUCUCUAUGGGUUAACAGUUUUGGUUGGGGUGACCUCGGAGAACAAAAAAUCCUCCGAGCGAUUUUAAAGACUAGACCUACAAGUCACAUCGCACAAUCGUUUAUUGAUCCAAAAAUUGAUCAACGGAACAAGUUACCCUA